rnacentral:rRNA from 1 species
ACGCUCGACACCUACUGGAGGCAGCAGUUGGGAAUAUUGGACAAUGGAGGAAACUCUGAUCCAGUGACGCCGCGUGAAGGAAGAAGGUCUUCGGAUUGUAAACUUAUUUUGUCAGGGAAGAAAAAAUGACUGUACCUGAAGAAAAAGCACCGGCUAACUACGUCACACAGCCGCGGUAAUCUGAGCGGGCUGGCAAGGC